rnacentral:rRNA from 1 species
ACGAACGCUGGCGGCGUGCUUAACACAUGCAAGUCGAACGGUAAGGCCCUUUCGGGGGUACACGAGUGGCGAACGGGUGAGUAACACGUGGGUAAUCUGCCCUGCACUUCGGGAUAAGCCUGGGAAACCGGGUCUAAUACCGGAUAUGAGCUCCUGCCGCAUGGUGGGGGUUGGAAAGUUUUUCGGUGCAGGAUGAGUCCGCGGCCUAUCAGCUUGUUGGUGGGGUAAUGGCCUACCGAGGCGACGACGGGUAGCCG